AUGGGAGUGGUGGAGUUCUCGGUGCUGGGGGCGGUUCAGAAGUUUCGAUCCCUCAUCACCGGCUCCACGCCCGCCGCCGACGAAGAAGCCCGCCAGGCGAGCGCACCACCGUCGCCCGCGACGCCGCCGCGCAGCGGGGGCGUAUCUCCGGUGGAUUCGCCGCCCCCCGCAGCGAGAUCCGGAGGCAGGCGUGCCAUCGCCCUCCGCCGCCAGAUCUCGUCGCCACAGCCUCUCCGCUGCUACCCUGUCAGGCGAGCAGAUGGCGAGGAAAACGACGGGCCUGGGAAGUUUUUCACCCCAGGGAACGACUGCUUAAAUGACCUCUCAGACACUGACUCUGUUAGCGAGCUCAACCGGUCUAUGACCCUAAGCCCCUUGGAGAGCCCGACCUGGAUGGUCUGGCAGAAUGGCGGCACACGAACUUCCAGGACAAACGGCCGUUUCAGCCUGGAUUCUCUUGAACAUGGUACUAAGACCAUUGCUGAAAGUAGUGGGGAAAGCGACACAAAUAAACAUCAAGUUGAUUUUGAUGCCAAUAUUUGGCGCCCACCACCGCCGGAAGAUGAGGGUGAUGAUGCUGAGUCGAGAGUAUUUGGAUUCGACGACGACGACGAUGAUGAUGAUGGGGUUGAGGAGUCAAGCAAUCUUCUUGCCCUUGGCUGCUUUAGCACCAACAAAACAGUUGGUGCUGACAUGAUCACGGAUAUAGCCCAUACAGAGGGUCUGAGGAAUGCUGUACUAGGUCAUUUUCGUGCUCUUGUGGCUCAGUUACUGAAUGGAGAAGGUAUCAGUGUCGGAAACGAUGACGGAUGCAUAAGUUGGCUUGAGAUAGUGUCGUCCUUAUCCUGGCAAGCUGCUAGUUAUGUGAGACCAAAUACAAAGAAAGGUGGCAGCAUGGAUCCUACUGAUUAUGUCAAAGUCAAAUGUAUAGCAUCUGGGGAUCCGACUGAUAGCAAUCUUGUUAGGGGAGUUGUUUGUUCCAAAAACUUAAAACACAAACGCAUGAUGUCUGAGCAUAGGAAUGCGAAGUUGCUCAUUUUAGGAGGAGCACUUGAGUACCAAAGGGUCACUAACAAAUUAGCAUCGAUAGACACUAUUCUUGAACAGGAGAAAGAGCACCUGAGAACGAUUGUCAGAAAUAUAGAGUCUUUGCAACCAAAUGUGCUGCUAGUUGAGAAAAGUGUCUCAUCGUAUGCCCAGGAGCUCUUGGCAAAAGAAAUUUCAUUAGUUCUAAAUGUUAAGAGGCCACUCUUGGAGAGGAUAUCAAGAUGCACAGGAGCACAAAUUGGCUCAUCAAUUGAAAAUAUUGCUUCAGCAAGGCUAGGCCAGUGUGAAAUGUUUAAGGUGCAGAAAUUUCUGGAAUUUCCAUCAGGAAAGCAGACAAACAGGAGAUCAACUAAAACAUUGAUGUUCUUUGAAGGCUGCCCAAGGCGUUUGGGCUGCACGGUCUUACUGAGAGGGCCCUGUCGAGAGGAACUAAAAAAAGUUAAGCGUACAGUACAACUUGCAGUCUUUGCCGCCUAUCACCUCUCUCUUGAAACAUCAUUCUUCGCUGACGAAGGCGCAACUCUUCCUAAAGGUCCUUCAAGGCCCGUAAUAGAGUUGCCAGAUAUUCGAGGUGACACAGAUUGUUUUGCUGGAUCUGCUGGAGUUGGCAUGCCUCAUAAACUCAAACAAAUACAAGGCGAUGAUUCACGAAUGUUUGAGGAAAUUUCUGUAUCACCUAGAUCAUUAUGUUUGAAUGAGGAAGGUGAAAGUGUCGUCUUUGAGCAUAGGGAAUCUGGAUCUCCUGUUGAGCACAGGGAAUCUGGAUCUCCUGUUGAGCACAGGGAAUCUGGAUCUCCUGUUGAGCACAGGGAAUCUGGAUCUCCUGUUGAUGAUUACUUACCCCAUGCAAUUGGUUCGUGCGAAGAGAGUAAAAUUUCUCCAUAUUUCCUUGAUCUUGAUCCAAGAACUUCAGGUAUUGUGAUGCAUUUUCAUGACUCUGCUUUGUUUUUCAUUGCAAACAAUAACCGUCAAGAUGUGGUACCAGGGAAGAAAUGUCAAGAAGUAGACCAUUGGAAUCAUAAACGACAUCAUGACUGUCCUGCCGGAGACUGUAAUGACCAGAAUGAAUUUUCUGGUGAAUUCUUUGGUACCAAUGACAACCAUCAGAGCAUCUUAGUUUCCCUAUCAAGCACUUGCAUUCCCAAAAGCUUGGUAUGUGAGCGUCCACAGCUCUUCCGCAUUAAGUUUUACGGUAGCUUUGAUAAGCCACUUGGGAGAUACCUCCGGCAAGACUUAUUUGAUCAGGCAUAUUGUUGUCCAUCAUGUAAAGAACCAUCAGAAUCACAUGUAAGGUGCUAUAUUCAUCAGCACGGAAGCUUAACAAUUCGUGUUAGGCGGCUUCUGUCUCAGAAGUUGCCAGGGGAGCGUGAUGGGAGGAUAUGGAUGUGGCAUAGAUGCCUCAAGUGCGAACCUAAGAAUGGUGUACCACCUGCUACGCGGAGGGUAAUUAUGUCAGAUGCUGCUUGGGGCCUGUCAUUUGGGAAAUUCCUGGAGCUAAGCUUUUCAAACCGCUCUACUGCUAACCGAAUUGCAAGCUGUGGGCAUUCUCUCCAGAGGGACUGUCUUCGUUUCUACGGAUAUGGGAACAUGGUGGCCUUCUUCCGAUAUUCUCCUGUUGAUAUUCUAUCAGUUACCCUCCCCCCCUCCGUAUUGUGUUUCAACUGUCGCAGUCCACAAGACUGGACCAAAACGGUGGCAGUUGAGAUAUAUGGCAAAAUGAAAUCCUUACACUGGGAGAUAUCUGAUUUUCUCCAUCGCACUGAAAAGAAUAUUCCAAGUGAGGAUGAUCCGGUCAAGACAGGUAUUCAUAGGCAGAUAAUUGAGAUGAAGGAUUUGCUUAAAAUGGAAAGAAACGAAUGCGAGAUUUUGCUCUUACCUGUUAUCAGAGAUAGUAAUCACCAUGUGCAGGCAUCAAUUGAUAUUCUGGAGCUCAACCGCUUGAGGCGUGGCCUUAUUCUUGAUGCUUACCUUUGGGAUCGGAGGCUAUGUCACAUAGAUUCACUUAUUGAAACAAAUGGUUGUGUUUCAAAGAACAAUCCUGCUACCGAAUUUCUCUUGGACAUCAGACUGAAGGAGUGGAAAACAGAUUUGCUUGAGGCGGACACAAAUAUUGGAAAACCCACUUGUUUGUUGCAGUCACCUGGAAGUCCAAGAAAAUCUUUGUUAUCCAGAGAGGUCUGCUUCAGUGAUGACGAGUACAGUAUGUCUGGGAAAAAAUUGCAGAUUGAUCUGGUUGAUCAUCCUGGUGAUGAUACAGAAGAUCUUGACAAGGUCUUCAGCAAAUUCAAUGGAGAGAAAGAAUGGCCAUCCACUAGAGCUGCUAUUGGUAUGGAACCUGUUGAGAGGUUACCCUCACUUGCGUCUAUUUUUUCUGAUAACAUUGAUUUAGCAUGGACUGGAUCCAGUGAGUUACAGUAUGAUCUUCCACAAGAUUUCACCAAAAUCGAUGAAAAUGGAUCCCUUAAUUUGUUGGAUAACCCAGGUUACAAGAAUGCCCCUGUUAGAAUUCACUCAUUUGAUUCUACAGUAGCAUCCCGUCAGCGAGAACGCACUGGAUUAGCUCCUACUUCAUUGCAUCUAUCGUCAUUCAGAUCUGCUGAGUACUUCGGGGGUUUGACAAGCAUCACAAAAGAUCCAAUGCCAAAUAUAAGGAGGGCUUGUUCUCAAAGGUCACCUGGGGCCAUAGAGAAAUUAAAUGUUAUUCUAACUCGUUCACCCACACAUAUCUCAUCCGCUUCACAUAUGGUUGAUGAUGGGGCACGGCUGCUGCUGCCCCAGAUUGGCAAUGAAGAUGUUGUUGUUGCAGUCUAUGAUGAUGAACCCACCAGUAUUGUUGCAUAUGCCAUGACUUCAAAUGAAUAUGUGCAGAAAGUCACACGAAAACUAAAUUCAACUUCGAGUUUUUCACAUCUUCCAAAUGCCACCGAGUUAAACCAUGGACUUGAACAGUCAUUGCCCUCACAAGAAAACAAUCUGGAUUCUGAGGGAACUCAUUUUAAGUUUUCUUUCGACGACGAAACCCCUCUUCCUGCAGAUAAUGCGAAGUUCUCUGUGAUUUGUUAUUUUGCAAAGCAUUUUGCUGCGCUUAGAGAUAAAUGCUGUCCAAAAGAUAUUGAUUACAUCCGUUCACUAAGUCGCUGCAAGAGAUGGUCUGCACAAGGUGGAAAAAGCAAUGUUUACUUUGCAAGGACACUGGAUGAGAGGUUCAUAAUCAAACAAGUCACCAAGACAGAGCUGGACUCUUUUGUGGAAUUUGUUCCUCAGUACUUCAAGUAUUUGAUGGAAUCCUUGGCCUCUGGUAGCCCAACUUGCCUGGCAAAAAUAGUAGGAUUAUAUCAGGUUAAUGUCAAGGGCUUGAAAACUGGAAGGGAAGUGAAGAUGGAUCUAAUGGUGAUGGAGAAUCUUUUCUUUGAAAAAAAGAUACCUAGGGUGUAUGAUCUGAAGGGUUCAUUACGCUCUCGCUACACAUCCGGUGAUAGCAAAGUCUUGUUAGAUUCAAACCUCAUAGAGGCACUGCAUACAAAGCCUAUAUUUUUAGGGAGCCGAGCAAAGCGAAGAUUGGAAAGAGCUGUCUGGAAUGAUACUUCGUUUCUUGCGUCGGCGGAUGUCAUGGAUUACUCGCUUCUUGUUGGAAUCGACGAGGAGAAGAAAGAACUCGUCAUUGGCAUCAUCGAUUACUUGCGCCAAUACACCUGGGACAAACAGCUUGAGACUUGGGUGAAGGCCUCUGGCAUCCUGGGAGGCCCCAAGAACGAAGCCCCCACCAUUAUAUCCCCGAUGCAGUACAAGAAGAGGUUCAGGAAGGCCAUGUCCAAGUACUUCCUCACCGUCCCUGAUCAAUGGACCUCUUAA
rnacentral:rRNA from 1 species